UACGGGGGGGGCAAGCGUUGUUCGGAAUUACUGGGCGUAAAGGGCUCGUAGGUGGCCAACUAAGUCAGACGUGAAAUCCCUCGGCUUAACCGGGGAACUGCGUCUGAUACUGGAUGGCUUGAGUUCGGGAGAGGGAUGCGGAAUUCCAGGUGUAGCGGUGAAAUGCGUAGAUAUCUGGAGGAACACCGGUGGCGAAGGCGGCAUCCUGGACCGAUACUGACGCUGAGGAGCGAAAGCCAGGGGGAGCAAAACGGG
rnacentral:rRNA from 1 species